rnacentral:rRNA from 1 species
AGUGAACGCUGGCGGUAGGCCUAACACAUGCAAGUCGAACGGCAGCACAGUAAGAGCUUGCUCUUACGGGUGGCGAGUGGCGGACGGGUGAGGAAUACAUCGGAAUCUACUUUUUCGUGGGGGAUAACGUAGGGAAACUUACGCUAAUACCGCAUACGACCUACGGUUGAAAGCAGGGGAUCUUCGGACCUUGCGCUAUUGAAUGAGCCGAUGUCGGAUUAGCUAGUUGGCGGGGUAAAGGCCCACCAAGGCGACGAUCCGUAGCUGGUCUGAGAGGAUGAUCAGCCGCACGGGAACUGAGACACGGUCCAAAGUCCUACGGGGGGCAGCAGUGGGGAAUAUUGGACAAUGGGGGCAAGCCUGAUCCAGCCAUACCGCGUGGGUGAAGAAGGCCUUCGGGUUGUAAAGCCCUUUUGUUGGGAAAGAAAAGCAGCAGGUUAAUACCCCGCUGUUCUGACGGUACCCAAAGAAUAAGCACCGGCUAACUUCGUG